rnacentral:lncRNA from 1 species
AUGCAUUCAUCAGCUAACUGUGUGCAUUGCCCAGGACCCCUUUUCCUUUCCAGAGAUGCAAGCAGCUCAAGAAAGAGGCCCCCUGCCAACAUCAGGGUGUGUCCUGACCUACCGGAAACAUGUGGAUGGCCCUGUGCCCGCACAGCUAGGAAAGGUCUGGGCUGGAAGAGCAAUGUAAGGCAGAUGGUGGAGGACAGUGAAGCCCAAAGAUGCAGAAGGAUUUUCCCAGGGCCAGGGAUACAGCUCAAGUGCCUGCCUGGUCAGGGGUUGGCCUGGUGUCCUGUUCUCAUCAAUGACAUUUAAGGGAUUGUAUUCUGGGAUUUUCAUCUCUGAUGAAAGAGAACAGUAGAAAGUCUCUUUUCUCACUCUCUGGGACUCUGCCUUUGAGGACUGGCGAGAUCAUAAAGGAAGAUAUUGCUUGUUGUCAUCUCAAAAAAGGUCUUCCCACUGUGUCUCAGGAAAUUUAUGUCCUCCCAAUCCAAAUAGAAGAAAAAUCUGGGGAGAAACUGAGAAAAAGCAGAAAUGUGUUAUAAUUCUCUUUGGAGAACUAAACUUAACAAUAUGAAGAGGUUACUGGCUCCAAGGACUCCACUGACAUCUAGGUGAGUACAAGGGCAGAAAACACUGACACAUGGCAGUCAAGGUUAAGGCUGACAAUUCCGGAAAGAGAACGGAAGCACGUGGGAGAGGACCAGUCACCCUGGAACCAGUCAGUCUUGCUUUCCAAGGUGCCCUGUUAGAAGUGCCUGCUCUUGGCCUGCCUCAGCCAGCAGUGAGUCAUUCUUGCAAACAAAAUAAAUAUUCAUGAGGUCAUGCACAUGCUGUGUUGCAUACAAAUCUCAUGACCAAUCUUCUAAGAAAUAACCAAAUUAUCCUGAAGUUGGCAUGUUCAACGUGCGAUUCUGUGUGGUGUUGUUAACCUUCCAAAGAGAUCUGUUACAUUAUCCCACCCAGUGGUAAUAUUUGCUGGCAUUUUGCAGUAUCAGAACAUUUACUGUAAGCUACAGUUUUUUGUGAUGCAAAUGAAAUAGUUUCACCAUUAAAACACACACCUGAUGACAACAGUAUCCUAAGUAAAAUGAGCCAAACCCAAAGCACAAAUAUUGCCAGUUCCACCCAUAUGAGGUCCCUAAGAUAGGCAAAUUCAUGGAGACAGGAAGUGGAGUAGUGGGUGCUCAGGCUUGGGAGGGGAAAAUGGAGGGACAGUGAGUGUUUAGUGGUGACAAAUCUUCAGGUAAGAAUACUGGACAGCGGUAAUGAUUGCACCAUGAUGUGAAUGGCAUUCAGUGUGUUUAGUGCCACUAAACUCUUCCCUGAAAAAUGACUGAGUUAGGAGGCUGAGACAGGAGGAUCAAAAGUUCAAGUCU